rnacentral:rRNA from 1 species
CAAAACAUGGCUUCCCGUAUAAAUUUAAAUGCGAAGUCUUACCUGCCCAGUGAAAAUUUUAACGGCCGCGGUACUCUGACCGUGCAAAGGUAGCAUAAUAAUUUGCCUUAUAACUGAAGGCUAGAAUGAAUGGUUUGUCAAGGGUAAACCUGUCUCUAAAAAAUUUUAUAGAACUUUAUUUUUAGGUGAAAAAGCCUAAAUUAAAUUAAAAGACAAGAAGACCCUAUCGAGCUUGAAAGAAAUUAGUAAAAUUUCAAGUAUUUUAUUAAAAACUAAGUUAUUAAAUAUUUUGGUUGGGGCAACCGAGGAGUAAAUAAAGCCUCCUUUUAUAAAACAUAAUAUAAUGAUCCAGAAAAUCUGAUUAUAAGAAAUAGUUACCGUAGGGAUAACAGCAUUAUUUUUUUUGAGAGCUCAUAUCGAAAAAAAAGUUUGUGACCUCGAUGUUGGACCAAAAUAUCCUAAAGACGCAGAAGUCUUUAAGGGUUGGUCUGUUCGACCAUUAAAAUUUUACGUGAUC